rnacentral:rRNA from 1 species
CCAAUAGCGUAUAUUAAAGUUGUUGCAGUUAAAAAGCUCGUAGUUGAAUUUCGGGGUUCAUACGUUGGUCGGGCUUUUUGGUCUGUACUUAUGUAAUGGAUUCCUACCUUCUGAAUAACCGGCAUGCCAUUAAUUUGGUGCGCCGGGGAAGCAGGACUGUUACCUUGCAAAAAUUAGAGUGCUUAAAGCAGGCUAUCGCCUGAAUACAUUAGCAUGGAAUAAUGAAAUAGGACGGCAUGGUUCUAUUUUGUUGGUUUCUAGGAUCACCGGAAUGAUUAAUAGGGAUAGUUGGGGGCAUUAGUAUUCAAGUGUCAGAGGUGAAAUUCUUGGAUUUAUUGAAGACUAACUUCUGCGAAAGCAUUUGCCAAGGAUGUUUUCAUUAAUCAAGAACGAAAGUUAGGGGAUCGAAGACGAUCAGAUACCGUCGUAGUCUUAACCAUAAACUAUGCCGACUAGGGAUCGGACGAUGUUAAUUUUUUAAUGACUCGUUCGGCGCCUUACG